rnacentral:rRNA from 1 species
GACGAACGCUGGCGGCGUGCUUAACACAUGCAAGUCGAGCGGUAAGGCCCUUUCGGGGGUACACGAGCGGCGAACGGGUGAGUAACACGUGGGUGACCUGCCCUCAGCUCUGGGAUAAGCCUGGGAAACCGGGUCUAAUACCGGAUAUGACUCCAUGACGCAUGUUGUGGGGUGGAAAGCCUUGUGCGGCUGAGGAUGGGCCCGCGGCCUAUCAGCUUGUUGGUGGGGUGAUGGCCUACCAAGGCGACGACGGGUAGCCGGCCUGAGAGGGCGACCGGCCACACUGGGACUGAGGCACGGCCCAGACUCCUACGGGAGGCAGCAGUGGGGAAUCUUGCGCAAUGGGCGAAAGCCUGACGCAGCGACGCCGCGUGAGGGAUGACGGCC